rnacentral:ncRNA from 2 species
AUCGAACUUCGGGGCGGGGCGAAAUUCCCCACCGGCGGUAACUUAAAUACCACGCUUUUCUGGCAACAGUGUUGAAGUAAAGUGUGUUGAGAAGCCCGCGAGCGCUUUUUCUUAUGAUGUCGUAAGAAAAGGGUCUAGCAGAUCUGGUGUAAAUCCAGAGCCGACGGUUACAGUCCGGAUGAAAGAAGAUCGAC